GACAGAGGUGCCGAGCGUUAGGCGGAAUCACUGGGCUUAAAGCGUGUGUAGGCGGACUUGUAAGUACCUUGUGAAAUCCCACGGCUCAACCGUGGAACUGCUUGGUAUACUGCUUGUCUUGAGCCACUUAGGGGCAGUCGGAACAGACGGUGGAGCGGUGAAAUGCGUAGAUAUUGGGAGGAACACCAGUGGCGAAGGCGGCUCACUGGACCGAAACUGACGCUGAGGAGCGAAAGCUAGGGUAGCAAACGGG
rnacentral:rRNA from 1 species